GUGGGGAAUAUUGCACAAUGGGCGAAAGCCUGAUGCAGCAACGCCGCGUGAGCGAUGAAGGCCUUCGGGUCGUAAAGCUCUGUCCUCAAGGAAGAUAAUGACGGUACUUGAGGAGGAAGCCCCGACUAACUACGUGCCAGCAGCCGCGGUAAUACGUAGGGGGCUAGCGUUAUCCGGAAUUACUGGGCGUAAAGGGUGCGUAGGUGGUUUCUUAAGUCAGAGGUGAAAGGCUACGGCUCAACCGUAGUAAGCCUUUGAAACUGGGAAACUUGAGUGCAGGAGAGGAGAGUGGAAUUCCUAGUGUAGCGGUGAAAUGCGUAGAUAUUAGGAGGAACACCAGUUGCGAAGGCGGCUCUCUGGACUGUAACUGACACUGAGGCACGAAAGCGUGGGGAGCAAACAGGAUUAGAUACCCGAGUAGUCC
rnacentral:rRNA from 1 species